GGGGAUGUAAUGGUUUCGACAUAUUAUUCGAAAAAUGAAUAGCAAGUAGUGGAUUCUCGUUGGCCACUUUAAAAAACGGGAAAUUAAAAAUAAACGCAGAAAAUAAUAAUGAGUACGCUUUAGCUGCCUAAUUGCAGCUACGCUUUGCUAAAUGUUCCUACGCAUUUAGAUAAAGUGUCAUAUUUGUAGGAAACAAAGCCAUUAUUGCUUUUAUGAUGGUGGGUAUUUUAAAAAGCUAUAUUUUAAUUAAACCUGUUUGUUGGUGUAAUUAAAAUGAAUAUAAAAAACAAACUAAACUUGUAGAGAUUCAUUUGGAAGAUAUUAUGGACAGGAGUUCGACUCUCCUCAUCUCCACCA
rnacentral:tmRNA from 1 species